ACGACUGUAUCACGUUGCAAAAUCGGUUCUCGUUCGAUCAUCGAAGUUAAACAACGUCGAGCUUGGUCAGUACUUAGAUGAGUGACCGUUUGGGAAUAAUAGGUGCUGUAGG